rnacentral:misc_RNA from 1 species
GCAGAAGGAUCAUUAGUGAAGAUUUGGGCAGGCCAUACGGACGCCAAAGAGUGUCCCUGGCCGCCUACACCCCACUAUACAUCCACAAACCCGUGUGCACUGUCUUGGAGAAAGGCUUCAGAGAAGUUUUUUGUGGCCUCUCUUGGGGUCUUUCUUCGCUACAAACUCGAAUGGUUAGUAUGAACGUGGAACUUGGUUGGACCGUCACUGGCCAACAAACUAUACACAACUUUCGACAACGGAUCUCUUGGUUCUCCCA